rnacentral:rRNA from 1 species
UUGACCUCAAAUCAGGUAGGACUACCCGCUGAACUUAAGCAUAUCAAUAAGCGGAGGAAAAGAAACUAACGAGGAUUCCCCUAGUAACUGCGAGUGAAGCGGGAAGAGCUCAAAUUUCGAAUCUGGCGGUCCUCGGCCGUCCGAGUUGUAAUCUAGAGAAGCGUCU